CAGACUUCACCAUGUGAGUCCCCAGGUCGAGGAUGUUGCUCUGCAGGUUAUGACCAGAGAAGGAAAGGAAGAAAGGUUAAUUGUCCACCAGGGAGAAAAACACAGAAAGGACAUAAAUCUGUGAGUCUUGAUUUCUAAUCAAUGGGUAUAGAUUAUUUCAUGUCAUGUACAGGUAUAUAAACAUAUGAUUAAUACUAACAGAGAACACAUGAAGACAGACAGAAUGACGGAGAGUGCUGGUAAUAAAUUUCUGACACGGCUCAGUGAUGUGUGAGGGCAGCAGCAGGCAGAUCGAUAGUGACAGUGGGUAAUGACUCCUGUGAUCCUGCUGGACCUUUGGGGGUUGACCCGACGCCUCCUCUCGACCCACUGUGGCCUUCGCAGCUCCAUCAUUUAUUGCUUCUGUGAGAAAGGGAGGGCGGUGUGAGUGGUGGUUGGAUUAGUGGUGUGGAAGCAGUGAAAAACGUUUGAGGAUCACUCCUGAACACCGUGUUCGUUAUGAGCCAUUGGAUAUGACAUAAAGACUAUCAUCAAAGGUCACUUUGAUAUUAAAGAUUUCAAAAAAAAUAGUAGAGCAUGUAUGCACUGAAGAAGAGUGCUUGUGAAAACACUCAGUUUCAGGGGGCGUCACAGUAAGGGGGAAAGUGGGAUUGACUAUGUAGGGUCCUAAUGUGUAUUCACUGUUAUUUUUGGAGUGUUAAAAGUAGUAAAGUAUAUUAAGCUGCCAGCUAAUAUCUAAAAUCAUAGAGAGUUUACGCCUCGGAGUAGAUAAAAAAAGAAAAAGGUGUGAAGGAAGAGAAGAGAGAAGGAAAAUGAAGGUUUCUCUUUAAAUAGUGAUGAAGGGCGGACAAAAGGACAGAAGAUAAUUUCCAUUUACCAAAUUAACAAAUCAGUCCAAAACCAAAUCAAACAGGCCAUAUUUUUUAUUUAUAAAGUGUAAUGUACUCUAGACUUCAUUAGAUAAAAUAUGGUGGCUAACAAGGGCCAAUGAUCUGCAACGGUCUGAGAGAUCUUUAACAGCAGAAAUGUGCUGCAAAUGCAGAUAUACAAUUAAAAAAUAAAAAAAACACACACACACAAAAGUCCAAAAUCAAUAUCACAAUGGAAUCACACUGCAAGUGAAGAAGCAUGCUGCAAAAAGCCAAAACAAUUGCAUGGACAGCAAAAGUGCUGCAAAUACACAAAUGAUACCAGCAAAAAAAAGAACUAGUUUAUAUGCAAAACUGGAAUAGUUUGGUAUCUGGGGGUAAGUUUAAAACCACUACAGCCACAAGAUUCAGAACUGGGUUAUUAAACCUAUAAUAGUGAAGAAAAAGAGAACAUUUAAGGGAUAUUCCUGCGUAAAAUUAAUUCACACAGAGUAAGAGACCCUGUCGAGAGACGAAUGUUGCCGCCUGCUUGCUUCUCUAGUUAUACCAACUAUAGUAAUGACCGCACAAUAGCAAUACAGAGAGCCAUGCACUCAACCAAAAAGCCACUGUAUAGCCACAAAUAAUGUUCAGAUUAGCACCUAACUUCAUCAACAGUACAUAUAGGGUCCCAGCCAUAGUACUGGCCACCAAACAUCUUUUUAGCUUCGCCUGAUUUCUUUAGCAAAGAGGCUCACCACCUCUCUUACAGUUUGUACAGACCCCUUGGGCGAGUCCAUCAGCUUCUGUGGGGUGACACAGCUUAAGGAAGAACAUUUAUGAUCAUUUCUUCAUGCAAAUGCAAUCAGACCGAGACGCUAAAGCAGAAGAACUACUGCGUCUGCAGUGCAAAAUGAUUAAUAUGAUGAUUGUUGCUUCAAGGAAAUUAUAAAGUAAUGAUCAUAAAUGUUCUUCCUUGAGCUGCGUCACCCCCCUGCAGACGUUACUUAAGUUUAUAUAACUAGUGAAGCAAGUGGUCAGCAACAUUCAUCUCUCGAUGGGGUGUCUAACUUGGUGUUAUGGUGUGUUUGACCCUAACUUAAUUUUACACCGGAAUAUCCUUUUAAGGUUGAGGAGGGUUUUUUUAGAUAUUCAUUGAUGUUUAAUUUGUCGAAAUUGACCCACAAUGUGCUCCAAAUAUGUUUGUUUUAAAUUCUUGCACGUUUUUGACAUUGGAUCAUUUCUGCCGUUACUCCUGUGUGCUCCUCCUCCUGAAGAUUUCUUGGGCCACUGUAGAUGUUCUGGGUCUGGUUAACUCUCUGUUAGCUUUCCUUACACCCUUGGGCCACAGGAGUCACCUUUUUACAGUCUUUCCUGUUUAGAACUUGAAGUUCCCUUGUGUUUCCUCCAAUUACUUUACUACUUUUGUUGAGCAAAGUUAACAGGCAUACAAAACUUAUGAUCAUAUGACUAAAAACUAUGAACAGCACUCAGGUAUAUUGUAUUCUCAACCUCACCUCAUGUGCACCCUGUCUUUUUUUUGGCUUUAAACUUAUAUUUGUACUCUAGAACAACAAUCUUUGCUUUUAUUGAACCAUCCCUGCAUAAAGAAACUUUUAUUGUUUCCUUUUUCAUCAAAAUCCAUCAAAGCGCUGACUGUCUCCUGUUGUCAUGAAAAACACCUCCAUUAAAUGCAUAUUUUAGGAGGAGAGAAGAAUAGAGAGUUGUGGUAAAAAGGCCCCCCUGCUGUGGUGAUAAAAAUAUACCUGCAGAGUUCAUUCAUCCUGUCCUGCUCUGAGGAAAAACAACAGCGCUCUGUGAGCCCACUGAAGCAUGUUCCUCCUCUGACAGCGAGUGAGUUCUCCGAGUAAAGAUGUGAUGUGAGAUUUAGCCCAGCUGUAGCCCCGUAGGCGAAGCCCUCACGUCCAUGAUCCCAAUCAUCCCAAGGUCAGGCCACUUUUUCACAUCAUUAUCACUCCUCUGUCACCCUCCCGCGUCUCUCUCUCCUUCCUUCUCUCUCUGCAGCUCCCAGAGGAAGUCCUGGCUGGAGGAAGAGGAGGAGAAGAGUGGGUGUCAUUAUGCUACCACAGUAAACUUUAGCGGUGGUCUGACAGGCUCAAACACACAGAGGUUACCUCAGUGAUCUGUCAUGUCGGAGUGGGCAAAAAGUGUGACCUCUUCGGGGAGAGGGGGGGCAGCAGGAGGGAAGGUUCUCCGGUUUGUUGUGAAACAAGAGUCAGGAGCGAAAAGACAGUCUGAAUGUACAGAGACAGCGAAGUUAGAGUUUAUAUCAGGUGAAGUGAAAGUGACAGUCAAGGCAAAUCAGAUGAAACUCCAACAAAGUCAAGGUGGACAGUAACCAACUCUAUGUGAAACUUACAUGCAUAAGUACUUUAUAUAAAUAUCUUUAAAUUGCCACUUAAAAACUGAAUUAUUGGUCCAGUAGAUAUAUUCUACCAUAAUCUUAAACUGAACUCAUUAUUUUUGUGAUUUGUGUGUGUGUGUGU